rnacentral:rRNA from 1 species
AUUGAACGCUGGCGGCAGGCCUAACACAUGCAAGUCGAACGAGUGGCGGACGGGUGAGUAAUUUCUGGGAAACUGCCUGAUGUAGGGGGAUAACUACUGGAAACGGUAGCUCAUACCGCAUACCAUCGGAUGUGCCCAGGUGGGAUUAGCUAGUAGGUGGGGUAACGGCUCACCUAGGCGACGAUCCCUAGCUGGUCUGAGAGGAUGACCAGCCACACUGGAACUGAGACACGGUCCCGACGCCUACGGGAGGCAGCAGUGGGGAAUCGUGCACAAUGGGCGCAAGCCUGAUGCAGCCAUGCCGCGUGUAUGAAGAAGGCCUUCGGGUUGUAAAGUACUUUCGGCGGGGAGGCGUUACCCGCAGAAGAAGCACCGGCUAACUCCGUGCCAGCAGCCGCGGUAAUUC